GCUCAGGAUGAACGCUAGCGGCAGGCCUAAUACAUGCAAGUCGAGGGGCAGCAUUAGUACUUGUACUAGAUGGCGACCGGCGCACGGGUGCGUAACGCGUAUGCAACCUACCCUUUACUGCGGGAUAGCCCGGGGAAACUCGGAUUAAUACCGCAUGGUACCAAUUGAUGGCAUCUGAAGAUGGUUAAAGAUUUAUCGGUAAAGGAUGGGCAUGCGUGACAUUAGUUAGUUGGUGAGGUAACGGCUCACCAAGACGAUGAUGUCUAGGGGUUCUGAGAGGAUGAUCCCCCACACUGGCACUGAGAUACGGGCCAGACUCCUACGGGAGGCAGCAGUAGGGAAUAUUGGUCAAUGGGCGAGAGCCUGAACCAGCCAUGCCGCGUGCAGGAAGACGGCCUUCUGGGUUGUAAACUGCUUUUAUCAGGGAACAAAAAGGCCAUGCGUGGCAAAUUGCGUGUACCUGAAGAAUAAGGACCGGCUAACUCCGUGCCAGCAGCCGCGGUAAUACGGAGGGUCCAAGCGUUGUCCGGAUUUAUUGGGUUUAAAGGGUGCGUAGGCGGCCUUAUAAGUCAGUGGUGAAAUCCUUCGGCUCAACCGGAGAACUGCCAUUGAAACUGUAAGGCUUGAGUACAGACGAGGUAGGCGGAAUUUAUGGUGUAGCGGUGAAAUGCAUAGAUACCAUAAAGAACACCUAUAGCGAAGGCAGCUUACUAGACUGUAACUGACGCUGAGGCACGAAAGCGUGGGGAGCGAACAGGAUUAGAUACCCUGGUAGUCCACGCCGUAAACGAUGAUUACUCGAUGUGUGCGAUAGACUGUACGCGUCCAAGCGAAAGCGUUAAGUAAUCCACCUGGGGAGUACGCUCGCAAGAGUGAAACUCAAA
rnacentral:rRNA from 1 species